rnacentral:rRNA from 1 species
UAGGGAAUCUUCGGCAAUGGGGGCAACCCUGACCGAGCAACGCCGCGUGAGUGAAGAAGGUUUUUCGGAUCGUAAAGCUCUGUUGUAAGAGAAGAACGUGUGUGAGAGUGGAAAGUUCACACAGUGACGGUAACUUACCAGAAAGGGACGGCUAACUACGUGCCAC